CCUACGGGUGGCAGCAGUAGGGAAUAUUCCACAAUGAGCGAAAGCCUGAUGGAGCGACACAGCGUGCAGGAUGAAGGUCUUCGGAUCGUAAAGCGCUGUUAUAAGGGAAGAACAUUCGCUAUAGGAAAUGAUAGCAGAUUGACGGUACCUUGUCAGAAAGCGACGGCUAACUACGUGCCAGCAGCCUCGGUAAUACAAAGGUGGCAAGCGUUAUCCGGAAUUAUUGGGCGUAAAGCGCUCGUAGGCUGUCUGUAAAGUCUGGGGUAAAAUCCCGGGGCUCAACCGCGGAUCGCUUUGGAAACUGGCAGACUAGAGUGAGAAAGAGGAAAGCGGAAUUCCAUGUGAAGCGGUGAAAUGCGUAGAUAUAUGGAAGAACACCAGAGGCGAAGGCGGCUUACUGGGUCUUUACUGACGCUGAGGGGCGAAAGCGUGGGGAGCAAACAGGAUUAGAUACCCGAGUAGUC
rnacentral:rRNA from 1 species